rnacentral:rRNA from 1 species
CAGUCGCCGCGGUAAUACGAAGGGUGCAAGCGUUAAUCGGAAUUACUGGGCGUAAAGCGUGCGUAGGCGGUGAGUUAAGUCUGCUGUGAAAUCCCCGGGCUCAACCUGGGAAUGGCAGUGGAUACUGGCUCGCUAGAGUGUGUCAGAGGAUGAUGGAAUUCCCGGUGUAGCGGUGAAAUGCGUAGAGAUCGGGAGGAACAUCAGUGGCGAAGGCGGCCAUCUGGGACAACACUGACGCUGAGGCACGAAAGCGUGGGGAGCAAACAGGAUUAGAUACCCCCGUAGUCCCUGUCUCUUAUAC